UCCCAGCAGUCCAGCCUAUAAUUCCAUCAAGCCAACACCGGGGUGGGGCAGCACCAAUGGGAGAGCCCACCCCCUCACCUAGCCCGGACCCCACACUGUAACACAAGCCCAAGGACGGAGGCAUAGACAUCACUACAACUGAGGCGGCACUGCUGCCUCGCUGCCUGGGAAGCAGCCCUGCGGCAAUCAAUGUCCAACAGGGUCUUGCGAUCACAAAAGAAAUGUCCAAGACAGUCGCUCGUGGUUUCACUACACGCUGCCAUCACGCCAACUCGAAAGCACCAACGUCAAAUAGCCGGCAGCUGCAUGGUCUGCACUCCGAUCAGCCUCGACCUUCAUUUACCGUUAAAUGCCCAAUCUUUCAUGCUGACCUGCCUGUCCCCAUAUUGUCACCUUUUCACCUUGGAUUAGAGCAUCUCCUGUCACCACCGACACCUUUGAGCAUUGAGGUGCCGUAAUGUUCCAAUAUUCACCAUGGGGACAGGGUUCCCAGUCAAACAGUGUAACUCCAUUGCUGAAGCUGGGACUGGUUAUUAUCACCACUGGCAAGACCAUGUCAAUUGCAGCACUGGAUCACUGGGAUAAUACAACUGAGCUUAUUUACAGAGGGGUCUUGUCUCAUUGGCUCAGUGUGUACACAGAGAGACUGCAGUCUUCCUGCCAUUUCCAUCUUCACGGCCUGAGGAUAAUGGAUACCCAGGUUUUACAAUAUAUUUCCAGAACUAACGACAAGGUCUUUAGUCUCUCCGGGGAUCUGCACACACUGACAGUGGAGUGAACUCUCUGACCCUCCCUCACUGCAUUGCUCUGACACCUGGUCCUUUUCCAACCUGGUGGGAUUGUCUCAUGUUUAGGACAUUCAUUAUCACAGCCGACCUGACCAAUCCCAGUCCAUGUCUGUUAUCUGGAACACUUGUCCACUGAAACAUAUGUAGAACUGUUUGUGUUGAUCAGUUUGGAAACAGUUUGAAACAGUUCUAAUGUUGUUGUUCAUUUCUCCCUGUGGACUCUAGAUGACAAGCAGUGGUGGUGGUGCCUGAAUAUUUGUAACAUUGUGGCUCUUGUCUUCAUCCUCAUUGCCCUCAUUUGCUGGAUUGUGUCUAAGGAUCAAAGCUGCACGACCAACAUUCCAAUCUGGAUCCUGUUCGCUCUAUUCGGGGUCACAGUUGUGAUAGCGUUGUCCAGAUUCUUUCCAGUUUGCGGAUCAUGGAGAAGUGCAGGAAUUACAAACUCUCAGCCCAGGUCACGAAGCUGAAGCUGAAAAUCAUCCGGUCAGUUAGAAGGGACACGGCAGCCUUCAGUUCCAGAGGUGACUGUAAGGGCAGGUUCUGUGUCCCUGCUGUAGACUGGAGCCUGGAAAAUCCUUCCCUCCAACAGUGGGAACAUGGUGCUCUGCAGCUGUAACUUGUCUCACCCUGAGUGAGAACAACACUGCACUCAUUUCAGCUCUCAGCUUCCGGUGAGAAAUUCAAUCCUUGAUAAUCUGGCAAAAUUCUCAUUGGGAUCAGAAUCAUUUUAAGGAACCAUGAAAGAGGAGCCCAGAGGGGCUCGGUCCACAAGACCUUAUGGGUUUGUCUCUGAUUUAGAUCUCUGGAAGGUGCAAUAACUACAUAAUAUGUGCUUCAGAAGACAGUCCUGACUGCAGUCUGGGACAUCAAACGCAGCUCCCACACACAGCUGAACUGCUUUGCCUGAUGAUGACAACCACAAUCAGGUUUAUUGUCACUGUGUUAUGAGAUGAAAUUUGUUGUUUUGUGACAAGAUCACUGCCUCUCAGAUUCCUUGCCUCGGGAUCAUUCAUUGCUGAUCUCUACCACAUCUCACACUUUACUCCUUGCUGCUGCAAUAAUCCCCAUUCAUUCACGCAUCGUUAACCCUGAGUAUAAUAAUGAGGCCGGCAUUAUCCAACUCAGAGUGACACAUCAGUGAUGAGCAUUUUCUUCACCAAUCUACAAACAUCCAACUAUUACUCCUGAGCCACUCUGAGAAGGGUCACAGAGUCACACAGCACAGAAACAGGCCCUUCGGCCCACCAAGUCCAUGCUGACCUUGUUGCCCAUCUGCACUGAUCACAUUUGCAAUCAUUGUGGAAUCUACAUCAAAUUUGGCAUUUUCCUGUCCAGAUUGUCUGCUGUUAGUCAAACUGAGGACAGUGUGUAGACUCCACCCCACCUUUGUGUUGUUGUAUCAGACUAAACCAGUGAAUCCAAGCACAGAAGUACUUUCCACUUUGUACAAGUAUUAAAACUGCUCUGGCUGUUACACUGAUGCUGUCAUCCGAAAUCCCAUAAAGAUUGUGAUUUUCCCCAGUACCAAUACCAGGUACAGCAUUUCCUCACAAAGUCCCUCCCAUUUCUGUACAGUGAGCAGUGAAACUGCAAUAAAUCUCUAUGAGUUUGAAUGUUGUAUUGGAGGGUGAUUUUGGGAUAUUUUAAUCCUAUACUGUUUGUACAUGUGUGCAUUUGUAUUUUAAACAUGUUACCUGGAAGCCUCUUUAUGAUCAUUGUUGAUUAAAUAAACCACUUCUG